UUAUGAGAGUUUGAUCCUGGCUCAGGACGAACGCUGGCGGCGUGCCUAAUACAUGCAAGUCGAACGCUUCUUUUUCCACCGGAGCUUGCUCCACCGGAAAAAGAGGAGUGGCGAACGGGUGAGUAACACGUGGGUAACCUGCCCAUCAGAAGGGGAUAACACUUGGAAACAGGUGCUAAUACCGUAUAACAAUCGAAACCGCAUGGUUUUGAUUUGAAAGGCGCUUUCGGGUGUCGCUGAUGGAUGGACCCGCGGUGCAUUAGCUAGUUGGUGAGGUAACGGCUCACCAAGGCCACGAUGCAUAGCCGACCUGAGAGGGUGAUCGGCCACAUUGGGACUGAGACACGGCCCAAACUCCUACGGGAGGCAGCAGUAGGGAAUCUUCGGCAAUGGACGAAAGUCUGACCGAGCAACGCCGCGUGAGUGAAGAAGGUUUUCGGAUCGUAAAACUCUGUUGUUAGAGAAGAACAAGGAUGAGAGUAACUGUUCAUCCCUUGACGGUAUCUAACCAGAAAGCCACGGCUAACUACGUGCCAGCAGCCGCGGUAAUACGUAGGUGGCAAGCGUUGUCCGGAUUUAUUGGGCGUAAAGCGAGCGCAGGCGGUUUCUUAAGUCUGAUGUGAAAGCCCCCGGCUCAACCGGGGAGGGUCAUUGGAAACUGGGAGACUUGAGUGCAGAAGAGGAGAGUGGAAUUCCAUGUGUAGCGGUGAAAUGCGUAGAUAUAUGGAGGAACACCAGUGGCGAAGGCGGCUCUCUGGUCUGUAACUGACGCUGAGGCUCGAAAGCGUGGGGAGCAAACAGGAUUAGAUACCCUGGUAGUCCACGCCGUAAACGAUGAGUGCUAAGUGUUGGAGGGUUUCCGCCCUUCAGUGCUGCAGCUAACGCAUUAAGCACUCCGCCUGGGGAGUACGACCGCAAGGUUGAAACUCAAAGGAAUUGACGGGGGCCCGCACAAGCGGUGGAGCAUGUGGUUUAAUUCGAAGCAACGCGAAGAACCUUACCAGGUCUUGACAUC
rnacentral:rRNA from 1 species